rnacentral:tRNA from 1 species
GAGAUAGUCAGCUCAGUCAGUUGAGCGUGGCGCUAUCAACGCCAAGGUCGCAGGUUCGAUUCCCGUUUGGCCCC